AUUUUGUCAUUUGAGUGCAACAUAAACUAUUGCUUCUUUCCCUGGUUCAUCAUUGAAUUUGUCACAAUUUUUUUUAGGGAUCAUAUGGAAAAGCUGACAUCACUUUUGUCUCCUGAGGUCUGUUCCUCUGAAGACGCUGCAUCAAGAGGUCCACUGCUCUUUCAUGCAAUACACAAGAAAAUCCAGGCAAAGAAUUCAGCAAAGAUAUUUUGAGAAGCUUAAUCCACGCUUUCCAUGCACUCCUUCUGGAAAGGGCUCCUCUUCUCACAUUUGACUGCAAUGGUCAGGGAAUGUGACUCACCAGCCCAGAAGGACAAGAAGGUGAAUGCUUCCAGCAGUGACAUCCUGUCUGCCAGGCUGUGUCCUCAAGGAGAAGGCAGGAAAGUGAGGACCUGAUGACUGGAUGCCUCAGUAGGAAAGUUGGUCAAAGUUACCCAGUCUGCUAUGAUCUGAAGACACCUUUUGACUUUUCCAGGAUUUUCAUGCAGAAAAGAGCGUCUGCAAGCUCAGAGGUUGAAACUGAAAUCAAGUGGUAUAAUUCAGAGAAGAUGCAUUUUGGGCACUGUUGUUUUCUCCAUUUUGGAGAUGAGAAAACCGUUACCUAGAAGAGGUAAGACCUUGCUCAAGGUCGCAGAACUCAUAAAUGGCAAAGCAGGAGUCAGUGAGGGGUGAAGAGGGGUGUAGGGCGGUGCGGAGGCUCACAGCAGAGCACUGGGCAGCUCCCCUGGGGAAUGUGGACGAUGCUGUUCUGUAGGGAGAUGAGUGAGGAGCUUGUUCCCCUGUUGGCCACACCCUCAUUAUCACCAGUUCACAGAGCUCCCUCUUCCAUGGAGUCAGGCACUGAGGUGGGGGCAAGAAGGAGAAAGGGUUCUGUGCUAUUAGCACAAUGGGGAAGAUGCAAUGAAGGAACAACCUGGAAACAGAGCUAAAGUAAGAUUCAGGCCCCUCUACCCCGACCCCUUCUCACGCAUACUGGGGGGGUCUUAGCCUCGACCUAGGCCUUCAAUAGAAGGUGGGAGUGCUGGGUUCUUUCACAGGCAGGCAUGUCUGAAUUAAAAAUUCCUCACUGCAAAAACAGAAGCCAAGGGAGACAGACAAUGAGUUAAUGAAUCUGAGGAACCCAUUUCCUUCAGAUGAUUUAGACUUUUCUUUAACCAUUUUUACCAAUGCUAUUAAACUGUACAUAAACUUUGAAUUUUCAACUGAAAAUGUGUCAAUUCAGCUUAGACCUCAAAAAGCUUUUUUUCUCUUCCCCACAUACAGCAGCAGAGGGGUUUCCUGUUUGGGGCUUGAGAAUCAGUAACACAGAUUUUCUUCUCUUUUCUUGCCCUUCCCUUCCCUUUCUUUUAUUUUCUUUUCCUUCCUUUUCUUUCUUUUUUUUGAGGAAGUUUAUUGGCCUUGUAAAAUGGUAGUGAACAUAAUUAUAACUUUUUUUAAUGAUUUUGCAUUAAUACAGAAAUCAGAGCCACAGAAUUUUAGCAGUUAAGACACAUCUUUAUACAGAUGAAAGAACAGAUGUCCGUAGCAGCUGGAGAUCCACCCAAAUUUCCAUAUGGGGUGAGGUUAGGGGAAAGUGGAGGCCAGAUGGCCUGAUGUCUCCCCAGGGCUGACUGCAUCAUCCUGCAUGGAGAUUGUCAUCUACCACCACGAUCUGAGUGGUGGGCCUGCUAAUGGACGAGGGCGCCCAGAAGGUGGCAAUAUUGUCUCCUGUGCAUCUACCCGCUGACUCCUCUGCCACAAAGUGAUCGAUGGAUGGUGGUGCAGCAACUUAGAAACUGGAUUUAGGAAUUGCUUUCAACCACUUUGUGGUAAAUCUUUGGAGAGUCCUUUACCCUUCAAAUGAUUUGCAAAAUAUUUUAUUUACAUAUUCUUCAGGAGGGAUGGUGAGAUUCUUAAAUUGUUAGUCUCUAACAGAACUAUCCGAUAGAAAUAAAUAUGAGUCACUAAUUUGAGCCACAAAUUAUAUUUCUUUUAGCUGCUGCAUUAAAAAGGUAAAAAGAAACAGGUAAAAUUAAUUUUAUGACUAUUUUCAUUUAGUCUAAGAUAUCCAAAAUAUUAUCAUUUCAACAUGCAAUCAAUAGAGAAAUUGUUAACGAUAUAUUUCACUUUUUUAAUACUCAGUCUUCAAACUCUGGUUUGUAUUUUACACAUUCAGUCCAUCUCACCUUGGACUAUUGGUCUGGCUACGUUUCAAGUGCUUGAUAGCUACAUGUAGCUAGUGGCUACUGGAUUAAGCAGAACAGACUCUCCUCCAAAUGCUUCAGAAACGCUGACCAAAUGAUCUUUACAAAGGUCUCCUCUGACUAGACGGCUCCCUGAGUCUGCGCCAGCCUGUGCACUUGGGUUCUUCAGUCUCAUCAGAUUGUCUGCAGUGGGCUGGUGGAGGUGGCCUAGAAGAGUCUAGGAUGCUGAGGGAUGACUCCAGGGCAACCUAAGGGACCCAGGGGUGGUGGAAAUUACCGGGCAUAAACAGCCCAGGGAGUCUGAGUUCUUUUUGUAUGGGGGCCACUGUGGCUCAUGGGGCUGUAUGGGUCCCAGGUAGUGCAGUAAUACAUGCCUGCAUCAUGCUUCUCCAGCAUCAGCACUGACAGGGUACUGCUGGUGCCGUCCUUGGCCUCUAUGGAGGUGAUUUUAUCCACUUUCAGGACCAAAUCCCACAACACAUCCGGCUUAAACAUGUCCAGUCAGAGAAGUCUCUCAAGGUCCUUGCCCUCCUGGUGGUGGUACCAGUGGAUGCAGCAGACUGUGAUGUGGGCCAUGCCCAGCAGGAUUGCCAAGCUACCCGAGAAUACCACCACCAAUGCUUCCUGCUCCAGCUUCAGCACAGCCAGGUUGCCUGCCGGGGAGAUGGCCGUGAAGCAGGGGCAGCAAGAGUCUCACAAACAGGAGGGCCAAUAGCAUGGCAAGGUGGCCCAGUGUGGCUCUACUUCCUGCCCAGGUAGAGUGAAGCCGAGAGUGACCUUAUGGGAAAAACUGCUAAGGUGAGCCACAUCUUUGUGUGUGGUGGAGGCCAGUUAAGCCUUUGAGCCACUGCUUCAAAACAAGAAGGUGACUUGUGAGAGAAAUGGGGGAAGGAAGGAGUGACUGGAAAGAGAAGAGAGAAAAGUCUGACCACAAGGUGAAGGGAGGGAUGAUAAAUGGUGAGAAUUCUGAGAAACACUUAGAGAAUGUUGGUGGAAUAGUAACAGCAAUAGUAGCAUUCUUGGAUUGGACAUGGACUACACUCUGGCACUAUGCUAAUUAGCGUAUGUUUAUUGUUUUAUUAAAUCCUGCAAAUAACCCUGUGGGAUAAAUAUUAUUAUCCUCAGUUUGGAAAUGGGGAAAGCAAGGCUGGUAUUUUAAAUCAGUUUCCCAAGACUGCACAUUGUGAAAGAUGACAUGAGUGGGGCCACAUUAAAAUGGAGGCAGAGCAGCCAUUUCCAAGGAUUUUCCUAGCUCAUCUUGCUUUCUUUAUCCCCAAACUGGACUAAACUGCUGACAUUCUAAGUAGUCAGUAAGGACAAGAAUAUCCUGUUUGUAAGAAAUGAUGAAAUUGGACUUUGCUGAUGACCAAAUCACUAACCAAUCAACGAAGUACAAGUCCAGCCUUUUGCCUGAUAACUGAAUCUUAAGUCAAUCUAUGAAGAACAAUCCUAGCAUUACCUCAUCUGGCAGCAAUGAACUCUUCUCUAAUACAACUUACCUCAUCUUCUUCCAUUUUUCUCAUAAAAACCUGAGUCCCUCUCUUGUAAACAGGACACUUCUUUGGGUUUCUACCUGAAUCUGUUCCCUGAAUUGCAAUUCUUUAUCCCAAAUAAAUGUUUUGCCUCUUAAACUGGUUUCUGCUUCUAUAGGUUGACAUAUGGUGUCAGAAGUGGGAUAUGAAGCGAUCUCAUCUUUGCACACCAGUGUCUCCUGGAAACAGGUUUGGUAUGAACAUGAGUCCCCUUGUGUGUGCACCACUUCCAUGGACCAGCUCUUCCAAUCAGGAGUCCACUCAGUUACUCUAGAAUACAGGUUUCUGAUCAACUUUUACAUCAUAAAACCAAACUGGGUAACAAAUGACAGAGUCUAACAGAGAAACUGAUGGCUUCAUAAAACUGCUAACAAAAGAUCAAGAACAAAUAUUAAUUACAUGGGACGACAUGAGCUGAGGAGGAUGCUUUAAUGUUUCGUUUUUCCAUAUUUAAAGAAAUCUUUUCUCUUCAGCUAUCAACAAUUUGACUGGACCAAACUGCCAACAUCCCAAGAAGUCAGAAAGGACAAAAAUGUCCUAUUUGUAAGAACUGAUGAAAUUAGACUUUGCCGAUGAGCAAAUGGUAACCAAUCAAUGAAGCACAAAUGCAAUCUCUUGCCUGAUGACUGGAUCUGAAGCCAGUCUGUGAAGUACAAACCCAGCCUUGCCUCAUCUAGCACCAAUAAACUCUUCUUUAACACGACUUACCUCACCUUCUUCCCUUUUUCUCAUAAAAACCCUGAGCCCCUCUCCUGUAAUCAGGACACUAUUUGGAUUUCUACCUGAAUCUCUGCUCCCUCAAUUGCAGUUCUUUGAUCCCAAAUAAAUGCUUUCCCU